ensembl:lncRNA
CGCCCCCAGCACACACAGGGUGGCCCCCAGGCACCUGUAGGUGGACACAGUGAUUCACCAGACCACCAGUCACUCACUGCACCUUGUCAGCUGUCCUUUCCACCGUCUAGCCCUUCAUAUGCUCACAGCCACCAUGGAAAGUCACAUUUGGCAAAAGAGCAAGAGGGAGAUUUAAAUUGAAUUGAAAGGUUAACCUCAUUUUGUUUUCUUCUUUCCUUAAACUGCUUGAAUUCUGACUGACCCAACAACACUAUUAGAGAGUAUAUGGAGGUCAAGGGUGUCCAAUAAGGCUUCCCUGAUAGCUCAGUUGGUAAAGAAUCGACCUGCAAUGCAGAAGACCCCAGUUCAAUUCCUGGGUUGAGAAGAUCCCCUGGAGAAGGGAUACGCUACCCACUCCAGUAUUCUUGGGCUUCCCUUGCGGCUCACCUGGUAAAGAAUCCACCUAUAAUGCAGGAGACCUGGCCUUGAUCCCCAGGUCAGCAAGAUUCCCUGGAGAAGGAAAUAGGAACCCAUUCCUGUAUUCUUGCCUGGGAAACCCAUGGACAGAGGAGCCUGGCGGGCUACAAUCUGCGGGGUUGCAAAGAGUCGGACGCAUCUGAGCGACUAUAACAACAGCAGCAAUCACAGGUGAUCUAUUAGUAGGGCUCACAGGCACACUCAGGG